rnacentral:rRNA from 1 species
UGUGAGUAGUAGAGUUUGAUCCUGGCUCAGGAUGAACGCUGGCGGCGUGCUUAACACAUGCAAGUCGAACGAUGAUCUCCAGCUUGCUGGGGGGAUUAGUGGCGAACGAGUGAGUAACACGUGAGUAACCUGCCCUUGACUCUGGGAUAAGCCUGGGAAACUGGGUCUAAUACCGGAUACGACUGUCUGGCGCAUGCCAUGGUGGUGGAAAGCUUUUGCGGUUUUGGAUGGACUCGCGGCCUAUCAGCUUGUUGGUGGGGUAAUGGCCUACCAAGGCGACGACGGGUAGCCGGCCUGAGAGGGUGACCGGCCACACUGGGACUGAGACACGGCCCAGACUCCUACGGGAGGCAGCAGUGGGGAAUAUUGCACAAUGGGCGAAAGCCUGAUGCAGCGACGCCGCGUGAGGGAUGACGGCCUUCGGGUUGUAAACCUCUUUCAGUAGGGAAGAAGCGAAAGUGACGGUACCUGCAGAAGAAGCGCCGGCUAACUACGUGCCAGCAGCCGCGGUAAU